UAACGCGUGAGGAACCUGCCUUCCAGAGGGGGACGAACAGUUGGAAACGACUGCUAAUACCGCAUGAUGUGUUUCGAUGGCAUCAUCGAGACACCAAAGAUUUAUCGCUGGAAGAUGGCCUCGCGUCUGAUUAGCUAGUAGGCGGGGUAACGGCCCACCUAGGCGACGAUCAGUAGCCGGACUGAGAGGUUGACCGGCCACAUUGGGACUGAGAUACGGCCCAGACUCCUACGGGAGGCAGCAG
rnacentral:rRNA from 1 species